UCGUGCUUUGCGGCACGAGUUGUAGAUUGCAGGUUGGAGUCUGUGUGGAAGGCGGUGUCCAAGUCCCUUGGAACAGGGCGCCCAGGAGGGUGAGAGCCCCGUGGGAUGCCGGCGGAAGCAGUGAGGCCCUUCUGACGAGUCGAGUUGUUUGGGAAUGCAGCUCCAAGCGGGUGGUAAAUUCCAUCUAAGGCUAAAUACUGGCGAGAGACCGAUAGCGAACAAGUACUGUGAAGGAAAGAUGAAAAGCACUUUGAAAAGAGAGUGAAACAGCACGUGAAAUUGUUGAAAGGGAAGGGUAUUGCGCCCGACAUGGGGAUUGCGCACCGCUGCCUCUCGUGGGCGGCGCUCUGGGCUUUCCCUGGGCCAGCAUCGGUUCUUGCUGCAGGAGAAGGGGUUCUGGAACGUGGCUCUUCGGAGUGUUAUAGCCAGGGCCAGAUGCUGCGUGCGGGGACCGAGGACUGCGGCCGUGUAGGUCACGGAUGCUGGCAGAACGGCGCAACACCGCCCGUCUUA
rnacentral:rRNA from 1 species